AUAUCAUACAUAUAUGCUUAUAGCAUCUGCAUAUAAAAUGCUUUUAUUCAUAAUAACAUCUCCAACGUCUAAAGUUUGUUCUGAUCAGUGAUCACAUAACUCGAACUGGAACAAGCUUGAGAGGUACUUUCUUGACGGUAGUAAGAGUACCAGCUUCUUCUGUGUCGAUAUCCUUAUGUGUCAUUCCAUCAGGAACUCUCCAAUCAAAGAAGUAAAGCAAGUUCAAGAGUCCCAACUCAACAGUAGCAAUCCCCAUAGGCAUCCCAGGACACAUCCUUCGACCAGACCCAAAUGGUAAGAGCUCGUAAUGUUGUCCUCUAUAAUCCACAUGACUAUCAAUAAACCUCUCCGGGUUAAACUCCUAAAUACAUAGUGUGAACAUAUUUAUGUAGAGUUUGACUGAGAAGCUCUAUACAUGUUACAUGUGUCCAUUUUAGUGUGAACGCAUUUAUUAUAAUGUUUUUACACGUGACAUGUGUCCGGCUUAGUGUAAAUGCAUUUAUUACUAUGCUUAUUUGGGAUUUGUAUAAUAGUGAUACAUCCUUUUUGGUAGUUCUUUCUCCACAUGUUUUAAUAUCCCCGCCACAUGUUUUAAGAAAAGGCCAAUUCUUCUAAAAACCAUGUCUAUGGCCCAGCCUUUUAUCAACUCCCCAUAUGAACAAAACCCUUCUCGUAUCUCGGAACCACAUAUUUCGAGAUUGAGUGAUUAUUUUUUCUUUCGGAAAAUAAGUCCUAUCUAUACUGCAAUUUGUAAAAUUGUCUUCGGUAAUAAGAUAUGCUAAAUGUUAGUUUGUGUAUAAUACAAACAUUAAAAAUAAUACUCAUAUCAUACAUAUAUGCUUAUAGCAUCUGCAUAUAAAAUGCUUUUAUUCAUAAUAACAUCUCCAACGUCUAAAGUUUGUUCUGAUCAGUGAUCACAUAACUCGAACUGGAACAAGCUUGAGAGGUACUUUCUUGACGGUAGUAAGAGUACCAGCUUCUUCUGUGUCGAUAUCCUUAUGUGUCAUUCCAUCAGGAACUCUCCAAUCAAAGAAGUAAAGCAAGUUCAAGAGUCCCAACUCAACAGUAGCAAUCCCCAUAGGCAUCCCAGGACACAUCCUUCGACCAGACCCAAAUGGUAAGAGCUCGUAAUGUUGUCCUCUAUAAUCCACAUGACUAUCAAUAA
rnacentral:lncRNA from 1 species